AGCUCCAAUAGCGUAUAUUAAAGUUGUUGCGGUUAAAAAGCUCGUAGUUGGAUCUCGGCGGCCCUCUGGCGGUUCGCUGUUUGGCGCUACUGCCAGUGAGAGGCCGUGAUUUUUUGUCGGAGGGGCGCGGGUGCUCUUAACCGAGUGUCCGCGUCCGCCGGCAGGUUUACUUUGAAAAAAUUAGAGUGCUCCAAGCAGGCUUUCCACGCCUGAAUAUUCGUGCAUGGAAUAAUGGAAUAGGACGUCGUUUCUAUUUUGUUGGUUUUCGGAAAUCGACGUAAUGAUUAAUAGGGACAGUCGGGGGCAUUAGUAUUCAGACGACAGAGGUGAAAUUCUUGGACCGUCUGAAGACUAACUGCUGCGAAAGCGUUUGCCAAGAAUGUUUUCA
rnacentral:rRNA from 1 species